GGGGAAUAUUGGACAAUGGGGGCAACCCUGAUCCAGCCAUGCCGCGUGAGUGAUGAAGGCCUUAGGGUUGUAAAGCUCUUUCAGUAGGGAAGAUAAUGACGGUACCUACAGAAGAAGCCCCGGCUAACUUCGUGCCAGCAGCCGCGGUAAUACGAAGGGGGCUAGCGUUGUUCGGAAUUACUGGGCGUAAAGCGCACGUAGGCGGAUAUUUAAGUCAGGGGUGAAAUCCCGGAGCUCAACUCCGGAACUGCCUUUGAUACUGGAUAUCUAGAGACCGAGAGAGGUAAGUGGAACUCCUAGUGUAGAGGUGGAAUUCGUAGAUAUUAGGAAGAACACCAGUGGCGAAGGCGGCUUACUGGCUCGGAACUGACGCUGAGGUGCGAAAGCGUGGGGAGCAAAC
rnacentral:rRNA from 1 species